rnacentral:rRNA from 1 species
UACGAAGGGGGGCUAGCGUUGUUCGGAUUUACUGGGCGUAAAGCGCAUGUAGGCGGGUCGUUAAGUUGGGGGUGAAAUCCCGAGGCUCAACCUCGGAACUGCCUUCAAAACUGGCGACCUGGAGCGUGAUAGAGGCGAGUGGAAUUCCGAGUGUAGAGGUGAAAUUCGUAGAUAUCGAGAGGAACACCGGUGGCGAAGGCGGCCUUCUGGACAGUGACUGACGCUGAGACGCGAAAGCGUGGGGAGCAAACAGG